rnacentral:rRNA from 1 species
GGACCCCACUGCUAUCGGGGUGGGACUAAGCCAUGCGAGUCGUACGCCCCCGAGCCACCGGCGGGGGCGUGGCGCACGACUCAGUAACACGUGGCUAACCUACCCUUGGGACGGGGAUAACCUCGGGAAACUGAGGUUAAUCCCCGAUAGGUGAGGAGGCCUGGAAUGGUCCCUCGCCGAAAGGGCACCGGGACCAUGCUCUCGGUGCCGCCCAAGGAUGGGGCUGCGGCCGAUCAGGUAGUUGGUGGGGUAACGGCCCACCAAGCCUAUAACCGGUACGGGCCGUGAGAGCGGGAGCCCGGAGGUGGGCACUGAGACAAGGGCCCAGGCCCUACGGGGCGCAGCAGGCGCGAAACCUCCGCAAUGCGCGAAAGCGCGACGGGGCUACCCCGAGUGCCACCCGCUGAGGGUGGCUUUUCCCCGGUGUAAGAAGCCGGGGGAAUAAGGGGAGGGCAAGCCUGGUGUCAGCCGCCGCGGUAAUACCAGCUCCCCGAGUGGUGGGGACGAUUAUUGGGCCUAAAGCGUCCGUAGCCGGUCCGGUAAGUCUCCCGCUAAAUCCAGCGAUCCAAUCGCUGGGCUGCGGGAGAUACUGCCGGACUAGGGAGCGGGAGAGGCCGGCGGUAUUCCCGGGGUAGGGGUAAAAUCCUAUAAUCCCGGGAGGACCACCAGUGGCGAAGGCGGCCGGCUAGAACGCGUCCGACGGUGAGGGACGAAAGCCGGGGGAGCGAACCGGAUUAGAUACCCGGGUAGUCCCGGCCGUAAACGAUGCGGGCUAGGUGUUGGGGAUGGCCACGANCCAUNCCAGUGCCGCACGGAAGCGGUUUAACCCCGCCGCCUGGGGAGUACGGGCCGCAAGGCUGAAACUUUAAAGGAAA